rnacentral:rRNA from 1 species
GACGAACGCUGGCGGCGUGCUUAACACAUGCAAGUCGAGCGGUAAGGCCUCUUCGGGGGUACACGAGCGGCGAACGGGUGAGUAACACGUGGGUGACCUGCCCUCAGCUCUGGGAUAAGCCUGGGAAACUGGGUCUAAUACCGGAUAUGACCUUUCCUCGCAUGGGGUUUGGUGGAAAGUUUUUUCGGCUGGGGAUGGGCCCGCGGCCUAUCAGCUUGUUGGUGGGGUGAUGGCCUACCAAGGCGACGACGGGUAGCCGGCCUGAGAGGGCGACCGGCCACACUGGGACGGAGACACGGCCCGGACUCCUACGGGAGGCAGCAGUGGGGAAUAGUGCGCAAGGGGCGGAAGCCUGACGCAGCGACGCCGCGUGGGGGAUGACGGCCUUCGGGUUGUAAACCUCUUUCGACCCCGACGAAUUUGGACGGUAGGUGUAGAAGAAGCACCGGCCAACUACGUG